UUUGACAUUUGCGGAUCUCUUCUCUUGUCGAACCUACUCCGGAGAUGUAACGAACUGGUCAACAGCAGUUAGAUAGCAGAAAGAUGAUUGCCUCGAUUGAUUUGAUCCAUCCAACUGUCUGCAAACAUGAAUCUCUGAUGCAGCCAGUGCGGUUGGGAGAUUCUUACGGGUGCCAAGUUUGCAGAAAAUUUGGCGAUUACCCAGCCAUGGUUGCACAUGUUCAAACACAUGACAAAGCAGCCAUAUCUCACAAUGGCUACAAAAUCUAUAGGUGCCAACACAACUGUGCCAACACAAGAUCUCCACACUACCACUGUGUGUGCUCAACCAUUACUGGCAGCAAAACUUCAUGCAUAAAGCACCUGCAGACCUGCCCUGGCAUGAGGGCACCACCUCCAUCUCAAGGCCUCAGCACGCCGAGCCCAAUGCCAGCCACGCACCCGCCACCUCCAUCUCAAGGCCUCAGCACGCCGAGCCCAA